ensembl:snoRNA
GGCUUCUGACAGUUCUGGAGCAGUUAUGUCUGCUGCUGAGAUUUCUACCACAGAUGCAAGAACAAAGCGUUCUCAUACUUUCUACCUGUCUGAUUGUGGCAGCCAAGCCUGAAUGGGAGAAUACAGAG